GUGCACAUACAUGUCAUCACAAGGUCCUGCUGUAAUAGGUGCUCUCUCUGAUAUGUUUUGACUUUCAUUUUUUGCUUUUAUUUGAAGUGUAGGUUUUCAUUGUCUCUUUAUGCAGAGUUUCAUCAGCAUGAAUUGAAGAUGCUUGUUGGAAAGGCCACAGUUACUGGGCCAGCAUGAGUGAUUUCAAUCCUGGCUAGAUUGUGCUUCCUUAGGGUGAUGCCUGCCGUCAUGUCUGGCAUCAUGGAGUCCAAGCCUCCUUGCUGUUUCCCCUCAAGAAAGGCAGUGGAAGUUCACAGGCACCAAAGGACCUUUUCAAAGACACAAGACUUUGGGUGGAGCCAGGGGUACAAUGUGGCACAGUGUGUAUUCACACAACAAAUGGAGGGCUUUUCUUGAGAUUUCAAGAACAGAAGGUGCAGACAGACACAAUAGUCUCUCAGCCACGCUUUAAUGAGCCAAGGCCCUUGGCUGGCUUGAUGCUCAGUAACAGGACGUCUGUGCAGUGAGAAUACAAGCAAAGGAUGCUCAGGCUGUGCUUGGCCAGGUGUCUCCAAAGGCAGAGAAACAUGACUCAUGACACUUGAGCUAAGUUGACACUGCUGCCAUCACCCUGGGAAAGCAAUUUGUGGGCAGAGAUCUAGGCUGUUUAUAAAAAUGACAUGAGCAGCAGCUCCAACCUCAGGAGGCUUCGUAGGGAAAGAUAAAGAGGAGGAUUACAGAAGCUAAAGCUUUUGUUUAAAGAGAGAUUACAAAGCAUUUAGUUUGGAUCAAGUCAGCCUAAAGCUUACUUGCUAAAAUGUGCCCCUUUGCUCGGCUCUGCGAUGAAUUUUGCUCUUAAACUUCGUGCUCAGAUGGAAAGACGAAGAUGAGGCUUUAUUUGGAAUGAUCACAGAUGAGGCUGUUUUUCUCUCUCUCUUCUAUUAAUAUGAAUUCAGGAAACAUGAGGAUUAGAAGAGAUUCUAAUCAAUUGCCCAACAUUAGUUUUUCUAGUAACAAGGGCAAAUGUGCUUUCUAAGUACUUGAAUGUGAAAAGGAAAUCACGCAGCAGAAAUGGAUACAAGGUCAACACCUACAGAGAUUUUCAUGAAGUUAUGGUUUCUGUGUUGGAAAUUGUCUAAAAUAUAGACUGCCCAUGUUGGGAGAGUAAAAAAAUAGGUUUAAAAACAUUCCUUCUAUUUCCACCUUCUGAGACUGAAUUGGAUUGACUGCAUGGCUGAUCCAGUGACUGCAAAAACCUACAUAUUUAGGUAACUUUAAAAACGAAUUGACCAAAACUCAGCCAAUAUGUCAACUUUUUGUAGAUUUGGCCUUUGUUCAGCUGGGGAUCAUUCCUGGUCUUCUGUGUGUCAGGGAGAUUUUUCUGCUUCAACGAAUCUUUCCUUUUCUUUUGAAAUUAAAAUCUGAAGAAAAAUGAUAGAAUUCCAAAGGGAUCAUAUUCCAAAUUAGAUGUAUCUGAUUUAUUAAUUAAUUCAUUAAUACAGUAGCGAUUCAUGGAGCAGCUACUAGAUGCCUGGCUCUAUUCUGAGCGUUGGAAAUCCAGUGAUGAGUAAGACAAAUUCUCUGUGCUCAAGUUACAGGAGGAGAGACAGAAACUAAGUAGUUAAACGGAGAAGUAUAUACGAGAAUAUAAUUUCAGAUCAUGACACAUUCUUCUAUUCCCAAGAUCUGGACAGCCAAGGAAACAAGCAAUUCUUCUAUGGCAUCAAGUCUAUGGUGCUUACCUUACUUGAGUCGCGGAAUUUUGUGCCCUAACAACUGUCCUGUGAAUUCCCUAAAGAUGGAAGACAAGCAGUUUAAUUUCACAAGUAGUCAUUGAGCUCCUGUUAUGUUCUCAGCACAGCAGUAGACAGAAAUGAUAAUGAGGGGCGUAAACCUCAGUCUCAGCCUUUAAAGAAUUCCUGAUCUAGCACAGAUCCUGGGCUUCAGACAGAGAGACUGCUGGGGGAUGUGCAAGGUGGAAAGCCGUGUUUGUGAUUCAACCCCCUCACUCUGAAGUAGAGAGCUAAAGCUAAGAGCACAUUGACUGACGACGGGAUUUAGAAGCAUCUGCUAUCUACCAAGCCAAGAUGGGGAAACGCCCACAGGGAUGAGAGGAAGGAAUUCAUAGCAUGUACAGUGAAUCGUGUUGUUGUCUAAUACUAUGCUGCUAGGAGAUGGAGUAUUUGGUUCUGUGGAGCAUGCAGCAGUCCCACUGGAAUUCUAACAUAGGCCAGGUUACAUGAAUAAGAAAGAUGGACUUUAAUGAAGAUUAUUCCCUUUGAUGUAAGAGAGACCCAUGAAAGCAUCCAAACAAAAGAAAGGAAGAAGCAAGGAUUAAGACAGUCAACUCUCCCUUAGCCACAAGCCUGAAGAAAGAGCAGGGCCUGUUUCUCUGUCGUUGUGACCACGCCAGGCCUCGUGCAGGGCCCGACCUGUGGAAGUGACUCAGGAACUGCCAGUUUUAAGUGUCCCUUUUGUGAAACUGUAACACUCAUUUCGUCUAACUUCUGCUUUACAGCCUGGCACUAAGAUGCCAAAGUUUUUCUAGUUUUAGCUCAUAAUCGACUUCUCUAUGACUCAGGUCUCUCUCGUAGAAAAGAUAAUGCUGCCAGUGGCAGUUGCCUCACAGGCUCUGUAUCACCACUCCUACCCCCCUACAAACACUCAAAUUGGCUCCAGACUGGUUCUGGAUUAGUUAAUUCCUAAGCUCUUUCUGUGUUUUCCUGUAUUUGAAGAGCACAUGUCAGAGAGUUUGGUCCUCACAUACACGUUUCCAAAGCAGUAACAGCAGCUCAGUUCUAGGACGUUGGUCCUGCUGAAACCCAGGGAGGGAAAGGGAGAACUUUCUCUAGGGGGCAGUUUUCAUAGGCCCCUUAAAUUCCAUAGCAAGGGCUCUGUUAACAGACACUGAGGCAUAGGAGUAAGAAUGUCUGCUAGCAUGAGGGUAUGGGAAUAUGCUUCUAGAAAGAGUCAUACUCAGUAGAGGACCAGGGUGCCAGGGACACAGGAAUCAAAGGAGAAAUGGAAAUCAGGAACGUUUAAAUACAUUGAAUGGGAAACAAUGAUACCUCGGAAAAGACUUGAUGAUUGGACUGCUACCGUUGCAAAUUUCUAAACUCUAGAACACAUGCUAUGUCAAAUGGCGCUUUCUGGGAUGGGAGAUAGAACUCAUAGGUGGAGUUCCCUCUCAGAUAUGAUAGAAGUACUGUGCCCAAAUUAACUGUUGUUUAAAAAGACCUCUCAACAGAGUUUAAAUUUGCAGGUGAUGGUUUUCUUGAGCAGGCAUGGCCUGAUUGACCUCCUUUGGAGGCGGAAUCAAAAUUUCGCCCAUAUACCCCCUUCUCUCAGAUAUCAUUGACUCUUUGCUGUAUUCUUCGGCAGCCCUAAGUUCUGGGUUUCUUUGCCUGAGAUGAGGGCUUGAGGACUGGGAAUUACCUUCGCUUCUACAUUGUUAGGUUUACAGCAUACUGGAGUAAUCUCUUAUGUUCUAAUAAAUGUUUGAACUCUUUAAAAAGUGAGGUACAUGACGGACUUGAUGUGGAACUAAUUCAGCUUCUGUGGUCCAAAGGAGCCACCUAUAUUCCAGUGAUGGACAACACAGGCUGUGGUUGCUAAAGGAACCAAAUUCUAUUCAGGCAUUGAGAAAACAUCUUCAACUAAGGGAAAGCAGAAUACAAAAAGGACUUCACUUUCUUUGGGCUUUUCGUACCCGAGGACAAGAAUAUUUGAUUUUGGAGUUGAAUUACUUUGAAUUUUGAUGUAUUUGAACUUGACUUUCCAGACAAUCUAAUCUAUGGACUUUAUCCCAAAAAAUUUUAUCCUGGAAGGGAGUUUAUAUUCCGAUAUUGGGAAUUUUAUUAUUGGAUUAAUUUGAAAUUUCCUGGUGAGUUAUAUUAGGCAGUGUGCUUGAACAGAAAUCAGGAUGGGGAAAACAUAGGCAGGCAAAUAUCGGUUGGCUACAGUGGUCUUAAAAUUAAUUUAAUUAAUGACCUGUUUCAGUGGGGAAACAUCUACACUGUCAUCAGCAACCUCAGUAGAGUCCUCAAUGCAGGAGGGAUUGGUAUGGGGGAGAACUUUAUAAAAAUAGAAUUAGACGACCCUAAUGGGCUGCCCAAAUUCUCCCUCAAGGAGAUAACCAUACCAUUUUGACCAUAUAUUUAAAGUUAAACCAAAUGAGUUAAGAGAACCAAGGUCUUGGGAGUAUUGAUUGGAAAGCAUCCGUUAUCCUGGUUCAUGUUCCCAAGGGAAGCAACAUCCAUCAGCAUAACCUCUUGGCUCCUCUCCUCUCAUCUUACUCACUCCCUUUCAAGGCAGGUGGAAUGAAUGAUCAAGUUGGGGAGACAGGGAGAAGAACCAGGGAUGCUCAGUCCUUUCUUUGCUCUCCUUUUGGGCUCUUUCUGCCUUCAGAGAGCCUACGUUCUUCUCUGCUCUUGGCCAUGAGCUAAGCUUAGUGCUUGAAGCUUCUCUUGGGGAGGACUACAGUUUUGUCAUGCUAUUCAAGAUUGAGGUGCAGUAUUAUGAAAUCUGUUGUUGCUUUUCACUUAAACCACAAUCUCUGUCACUUCUAUAAUUGAAAAAGUUGACGUUUUGAACUCUCUCUGCCUUGUCAUAGAUGCUGGAAAGACUUCUAUUUAUAUGCUAGAUAGUCUUUGUCAAACUACUUAACCUAUUUCUCAAUUUCCUCUUGUGUAAAAUGGGGGAAAACCUGUAUCUACUUUUACAAGAUUGUUAUAUGUUAAAAGAGUUAAUGGAAAGUGCUUAGGAAAGUA